GAUGAAGAACGCAGCGAAAUGCGAUAAGUAAUGUGAAUUGCAGAAUUCAGUGAAUCAUCGAAUCUUUGAACGCACCUUGCGCCCUUUGGCUAUUCCGAAGGGCAUGCCUGUUUGAGUAUCAUGAACACCUCAACUCUUCACGGCUUGCCGUGAUGAGUUUGGACUUUGGGGGUCUUGCUGGCCUACGAGCCAGCUCCUCUCAAAUGUAUUAGCUUGCCGGUGUUUGGUGGCAUCACAGGUGUGAUAACUAUCUACGCUUGUGGUUUUCCACUAGGUAACCUUCAGCAAUGGAGGUUCACCGGAGCUCACAAAUGUCUCUCCUUGCCAAUGACAGAUUUUGACCAUUUGAUCUCAAAUCAGGUAGGACUACCCGCUGAACUUAAGCAUAUCAAUAAGCGGAGGA
rnacentral:misc_RNA from 1 species